UGCAAACGUUGCUCGGAAUUAUUGGGCGUAAAGCGCAUGUAGGCGGCACGGUAAGUUCGUUGUGAAAGCCCUUGGCUCAACCAAGGAAGUGCAACGAAAACUGCCGAGCUCGAGUUCUGAAGAGGGUCGCGGAAUGGCCAGUGUAGAGGUGAAAUUCGUAGAUAUUGGCUAGAACACCAGUGGCGAAGGCGGCGACCUGGGAAGAUACUGACGCUGAGAUGCGAAAGCGUGGGGAGCAAACAGG
rnacentral:rRNA from 1 species